rnacentral:rRNA from 1 species
AACGAACGCUGGCGGCAGGCUUAACACAUGCAAGUCGAACGCCCCGCAAGGGGAGUGGCAGACGGGUGAGUAACGCGUGGGAAUCUACCCAUCCCUACGGAAUAACGCAUGGAAACGUGUGCUAAUACCGUAUACGCCCUACGGGGGAAAGAUUUAUCGGGGAUGGAUGAGCCCGCGUUGGAUUAGCUAGUUGGUGGGGUAAAGGCCUACCAAGGCGACGAUCCAUAGCUGGUCUGAGAGGAUGAUCAGCCACAUUGGGACUGAGACACGGCCCAAACUCCUCCGGAGGGAGGAAGUGGGAAUAUUGGACAAUGGGCGCAAGCCUGAUCCAGCCAUGCCGCGUGAGUGAUGAAGGCCUUAGGGUUGUAAAGCUCUUUCACCGGAGAAGAUAAUGACGGUAUCCGGAGAAGAAGCCCCGGCUAACUUCGUG